UACGUAGGGGGCAAGCGUUAUCCGGAAUUACUGGGUGUAAAGGGAGCGUAGACGGUUAAGUAAGUCUGGAGUGAAAGGCCGGGGCCCAACCCCGGGAGUGCAUUUGAAACUGUCUGGCUAGAGUGCAGGAGAGGUAAGUGGAAUUCCUAGUGUAGCGGUGAAAUGCAUAGAUAUUAGGAGGAACACCAGUGGCGAAGGCGGCUUACUGGACUGUAACUGACACUGAGGCUCGAAAGCGUGGGGAGCAAACAGG
rnacentral:rRNA from 1 species